ensembl:lncRNA
GAGACCAACUUCAGAGAGCAGCAGAGGGGAAAGCAGUGAAAGACACUGAGCGCAAAGUAGAGGAAGGUUCUGUGUGUCUUUAAGCACCCAAUUCUGGUGCUCCUGAAGACCCAGGGCAGCACAGGAGAAUGUCUGCCCCAGCAAGAACCAGAAGGUCAGACCUGAACUCCCUGGAGAAAAUGGUCAACAAGACAACUCUGACCACCCAGAGAGUCCUCCAUACACACAUCCUGGCUCCAGACUCUCCUACAGUGCAGCUGCCUUUGGGAGGAAUGGCACAACCUGACCACCAGUGGAUGGAAGAGUUCCAGCAGUGGGCUGAAGAGGAGAAAGAGAAGGCCCUAAAGCUUCAAGAAGAGUGUCUACGAGCCCAGUUCCUGGAAGCUCUGCAGGCCAGGGAGAGACUGGAGGCUGAGGCCAUUCAGGAUGAGCAGAUGAACGUGGAAGUCCAGCUGAAGGCUCGUUGCGCUGGCCUGAGAGAGCAGAUGGAGGAGGAGAAGAGGGUGGAGGUGCAGGAGGCCUGCAGGAGACUGAGGGAGGAGAUGAGGAGAGAGGCUAAGAUGGAGAAAGAGAAGGAAAUGAGAGUCAUACAGGAACAAACAGAGUUUCUCUCCUGUCAGUCUCACACUGAUGAGAAUGGGCCAGCAUCCAAAAAAAUGAUCUAUCCGAAGGUGGUCCUGUGGUCAGAACCUGACAGUGAUGGAAGACUAAAGAAUAAUCUCUGUCCAGCAGAUACUAACAGGAGCGUGUGA